UUUUCUGUAUCCCUCUCUCUCUCUUUCUUUCUCUCCUUAAGACACCCUUAUUAUAUGGGAGUUGAAUGAUAUUCCUAACAACCAUUUUGACUAACAGUUGGAUUUUGGUAACUGUUUUCUCUACUUAGUUUUUGGGAGGUAUACAAGUUGACUCAUGUAUUUUCUGUGUGGUAACAGGUUCCAUAGAAUUUUCAUUGGCUGAUUUUCAGAAAUAAAUCAUGGAGGUGGUGCAGGACCAGGCAGCAUUUUGUUCCAUUGUGCUUGGCGUCCCCAUUAGUCAGGGGCUGACUCGAUGGCAGCUAAAGAAAACAAUAAUACGUUUCAAUUUGUAUAAAUUUGCAAAAGUUCGGGUUUUUAGGUUGUCAGUGUUGCAGCACCCCCUAAACAACAUCUGUGGUGUCUGAAAGAGGAAGAAAAUCACUAGUAUGCUAGGUGGAAUGGAAGGAAAAAAAAGCAAGAAACAUUUCCUAUUGACUCUAAUUAAAGAAUUUUUGCAAAUCAUUGCUUACACCUUGGGUUUUACACUGUGCAGUCCGCACUGGCUUUUAAUUUGCUUUCAAGUACAGUUCAAGGUGUGGAUAUUGAUCUAUAAACUCCGUUGGUUGGUCCCUGGGUACCAAGCUACAUCUCUUUGUGUACCAUUGUGACAGCUGAGGUCAAUUAGAGUGCUGGCUAAAAAUCCUCAAAUCUAAACACCCUGAAAAGAUGUCCUUGAUAAGGUGCCCCCAGCUCAGGAGCCGUCUUUCUUGGGUCAGGAAGAAGCUCGAAGCAUGGCCACAUAAUUGGUCUUGAUUCCACCCAUGCAGCUUCUCUCAGGACAUUUUAUCUGCUCAGAUUGGUGUACUAAAGCUUUCUGUAAAAGCUAAUUUGGCUAUGGGUGUGGAGAGUGCUUCCUGGGGCUUUCUUCCUGUGUCUGUGGAGCGUGCAAUGCUGAUGUUAGUGUUACUCAAAGUGUGGUCCACCUUGGGCCCCAGCCUAGACCUACUGAAUCAGAAGCUUUCCAGGUGAUGCUGAUAAACCUGAACUUUAAGAACUACUGGCCUCUGUGAUGAUGUCAGGGGCUAUGAGAACUCCUUCAUGCUAUCCCUCACUCCACACCACCCAAAUCUCCCUCACUUGUUGCACACCUGAAAUUUAAUCAGAGUAACAUCUCUUCUAGAGUGUAAAGCUUUGGAUCUCGCAAGAUGCAAAUUCCUAGGAGCACUUUCCCCUGUUGUCCAUUAUUUACAUCUUAGCAUGAACAGCUUCCUAUUUUUCCGGUUUGAUUAGAAAAGCUGACUCGAGAGGCCAGCCCUCAGGUGGAGAGCGAUCUCUCUAGCAAAACUGGGAGGGAGCAGGGCACAAAGUAAGAACUUCCUUUGGUUGACAAUUUUGCUCAGGGUAGGUUUUAUGCAUUUGUUCAUCUGAAGCAGGUGAUAAGAUACAAGACAAUUUGCAGAGGAAGGUCAGAGGCCCAAAACUCGUGAAAAAAUCACAAAAAUACGGAAGGAUCAAUAUUAACAAGGAGAGGAGUCUUUGCUUAGAGUUGAAAAGUACGUAUUAGUCAAUGUGUUCUCAAAACCAGGAAAAGAAACUUUCACAGGAAAUGGUGGUGGUGAUGUGUGCCGUUGAAUUGAUUCCGACACAUAGCAACCCUACAGGGCAGAGUAGAACGGCCCCACAGGGAUUCCUGGGCUGUAAUCUUUAUGGAAGCAGAUCGCCAGGUCUUUUUACCCUCCGAGCCGCUGGUGGGUUUGAACCAAACCACCGACCUUUUGGUUAGCUGCUAAGUGUUUAACCAUUGCACCAACAGGCUCCUUAACACGGGAAAUAGAGUGAGGCAAAUGUAAUGGGGGAUUGUUGGUCGUCCGGAAGUUUACUAAAGACUCUGCAAAGGCUCUACUAUAGAAAGAAAAAGAACAUGUUAUACUAAAAUUUCAACCAAUAGAUCUAUAGCUUGCAUUGGCUAAGGAGACGUAAAGAAAUAUAUAACUUCCUCACUGGGGUUCUUUGUGGCACUUAACAAUUGUGUUAGAAGGAGAUGGCUUGCCUGGUGAGCUGAGUAUGGGACUCACAGAUGGGGAACCUGACAUUCUUAAUCCUAACUCCACCAUCGGUUCCGCCAAGCCCUGGCCAAUCACUGUUCCCAGAAGAAUGGGAUGUGCUUUUUGGCUCAGGCCUGGACCACAUGGCUGCCUUAGAUUGGGAGAUGGCACCUCAUCUAGUGAAGCAAAUGGACUGAGAGUAGACAGAAGAAUGGAAGCUGGACGGCCAAAACACAGCAUUGUGCACUAGAAAAGGGAAUCUAAGACAAUUAGUCUACAUGCCUCAGCUGUUGGUGCAUCAGUAAAUAUUGCUGAAUAAAUGGAUGAGAAGUACUAUUGCCAAUGUGUCUCAGCCUUCAGGAUGUGCAACGGUGACAGCAGGGAGAACUGGCUGCGGCUGACCCUGACUGAUGUGGCCAUGUGAGGUUGAUGGACCUGGUUCCUUCCUGGGUUCACCUUGGUGAAGCUAACAGGAGCACUGGAAAUGAAAGAAAAGAAAAUGAUGAAGAUACCUUGUGUUAGAGAUUGAAUUGUGUCCCCCCCAAAUAUAUGUUGAAGCUGUCAUCCCUGCAUUUAUGAAUGUGACCUUGUCUGGAAAUAGUCUUUGAAGAAGUUAUCAAUUAACAUGAGGUCUUGCUGGAGUAGAGUGAGUUCUAAUCCCAUGUGGUUGGUGUCUUAUAAAGGAGAAAAUACACAAAGACACAGAGGGAAGACAGCCAUGUGAAGACAGAGUUAUGCUGUUGUUGCAAGCCAAGGAACUCCUGGGGCUACCAGGAGCUGGGAGAGACAAGAAAGAAUCUUCCUCUAGAGCCUUUGUUGAGAACAUGGUCCUGUUGACACCCUGAAUUUGGACUCUCUGUCUUGUGAACUGUAAGAUAAUACAGUUCUCUUGUUUAAAGCCACUUACCUUGUGGUACUUUGUUAUGGCAGCCAGAGAAAACUAAUAUACUUAGUUUUAUCCCAUCUGGCAUAAUGGCUUCCUUUCUGGAGAAAGUAUUUAGAAAAUGGAACGAUAGGCUAGUAGGCAUGCAAGGAUAAAAAUGUGAUUUAGAGCCAAGCAUACUCCCCUGGCUUAGAACGGUGAUAAAUAAAGGAAUGAUAGAGAUGGAUGAUCCGCUGUGAAGUACUAGAUGAUUCAGAGUUGGGAGCCAGCCACCUGAAGUCCUGGGGGGUUCUCGAGGUAGCUUGCUGUUCUAGAGACUUAAUUACCACUGUAACUCAUGACACAUAAGUACAUGUCAGAUAGGCUAGUUUACAUGCUGCACUGCAGCCUUUGGGAAAUAGAUGAUGCUUCUUUCUCCUUUCCCUGCAAACUGACCCACCUGCUUUCUGAUGCACAUCUUGCUAUUUAUUUUUCUUAUCCCAGUUCUUAAACAGAAAUAGCAGCAGUGACAUGAUUUCAUGUAGAAUUCAGACAACACUUGUAGAAUCAUAGACUCUUAAAUUGGUAAAGUAUAUUGGGGGUGGACCUAAUCUGAUAUCUAAUCUCAAUGAUAAAAGUCCAGCAAAGCUGAUUAAAAUAAAGGAAGAAACCAGUCAAAUUCCAGGGAAUUUUGGUUUUAAGAUAUACUAAAUUUAAUUUUAAUUUAGGAACUUUGAGAUUUCCUAUUAAGAGACAUGGCUUUUUUUUUACUCCCCCCCCCCCCCAUCUCAUCAUGUUAGAUCAAAGUCCCACUGUGAUGCAAGAGAUUUAAAUAGAAAUUGAUAGUUUCCUUUGGAAUAGAAAGUCGAAGAUAGAACCCAAAAAGCCAUAUAGAAAAAUCUGGAGGAAUUUUAUUACCCAACCCAGUAAUUGUUUUAGUGAACAGAGAAUUGUUGAUGUGUUCCGCUGAGUCAAUUCCAACUUACAGCGACCCUAAAGGAUAGAGUAGAACUGCCCCAUAGGGUUUCCAAGGCCAAAAUCUUUACGGAGGCAGGCUGCUACAUCUUUCUCCCACGGAGGGGCUGGUGAGUUCCAACCCUCCACCUUUUCGGUUAGCAGCCCAGCCCUUAACCAUUGCAUCACCAGAGCUCCUCACUGAACAGAGUAGUCAUUACAUUUUUUACAUCUGUUUUUCCAAACAGUCAAACUUCAUUAUACUAUAGUCAUUAAUUUGAAUUUAAAACAAACAAACCAAAGCUCACAAUUAUCAAACCCUUGGAUAUGGACCAGAUGUUUUGAAAUAUAUCUUGAAUGUGGGAGUUUGUCACCUUUUCUUAAAGGUAUUUCUGUGGGUCUCCCUUUAACCUAAGAGCAUCUAAGAGGACCUAAGCAGAGGAGACGUCUGUGGUUGAAGAUUUAUAUUUAUAGUCCUUGAUGAACUGCAUACAUUUACAAGCUGCACUUUGAAAUCAUAAUGAUCUAAUGUGAAGCAAUCAAAAUUCCAAAAUCAUCUAAUCAAGAAUGACAUCAGAGGCAAACAAUCUCUCGAUGGAGUAGGUAUAAUUCCCUCUGUAAAUCUUCGAUUUAGAGCAGAUGUUCUAAUUCUGUGGAUUAAGUCAAGAAGUGUUGAGCUAAGUUGUCCAGAAGAUAGUUACUAAGAAAAGGUGAGCCAACAUGCAAAUUUUUUUUUUUUAACUAAAAAACGUGGCCAUGGUAACACAUGCCUCCAUCCCGUAGCCCAUCACCAUCCUUUCUCAGCCAGUGAUGGAGAAUUGAACUGAGAAAUUAACCAGGGAGACAGCCAAAGCAGAACACGUGCUUUCCAAGAACAGCCUCAGCGUGACCCCAGCCCUGCCGAAGUGAUUAUUCUGUCCUCUAUGAUGCACUCUCUUCUUAUUCUUCAUCACCCAGCCCUUUCCUGUAGGAUUGAGAACAAAAAAGAACAGCAGUAAGUUCUCGCAGCUUUUCAAUUUCAAAGAGUAGUUAUUUUGGUUCAUUGAUCAAGCCAGACAUAUGGAUUCUGAAAUACGAGAUGUGUAUGUUUUACAUUGCCUCGCAUCUUAUCGUUUGGCAUCUCUACUAGAUGGACCUCCUAUGGUAGGUGGGUGGAUAUAGGAUACAUCAGUAUGGACUCAGUUAUUGCAACACUUGGGCCCUGGCCCCUGAUCUAGAAACAGAAGAGCCAGCUCCAAAGGCCUGUUGUUAACAGUUUACGGAGUGUUGUCAGAAAGCUGCAUUCAUUCUUUACUGUUUUCUUAUUGCUUUUAUAAUAAAUAUUUACAGAUUUAUUGCAUACUUAUUUUCCAAAUGGAUAGACGUUUUUAGAAAUGACAUUUCUGAAAGUGCAGAAGCUAUCUGGCACAUAUACAGUGUAUCGUACCAUGUGUUUUCUGACAAGAGCAUCAUCAAAACUGUCUCCAUAGUUUAUCUGAUGAAACUAGAUAGCGGUGCGUUGUAUCAAGUUUAUGGCCCCAUUCUUCUCCUCUAUACUUUUCAUUUUCAUAUCUGACAUAGGGAAAAUGGCAAGAUUUUCUUUAUUCCCUAGGAAACUAAUCCUUAAAAGCCAUAGAAACUUCUCUCUUUUUUCACAAGUGUAGACGGAAAUCCUGUAUUCCACAGCUUAUCCCCUCUGCCUGAGAAUUUAUCUCUGAUCACACUGUCAAUAUAUUGGAUCUUUCCUCUUAAGGAAGGGAUAGGGAUAGAUGAAAGAAGGAAAGCAUGGAGGAAAUUGUAAGAUGAUUUGAUGUUUAAACUAUUAUUUUUUAAAUGCCUUGAUAGCAGACGAUGGAUGCUACAACAAAAGAAUUGUCUGGGUCAUUUUGGGGUCAUGGUGUAAUACGAAGCAGUAGGUUGCCUACUUCUCUGACAAACUAUGAGAAUGUUCCAAUACCUGCAGAAAAGGAGGUUCUGUGACAUUCUUAGAACUGUCAGAUAGUAAAGCUCAACAGGGUAACACCUUAUUUUAUUGUUAAUUUUCUUGGUUUUGAAGUAAUCAGAUAUUUUGGCUAUGAGAUAUGUAUUUUUUGUUAAUCAAGGGAACAUCUAUAAGAAUAUAAUUGAAAACCCAGGUGUAACAGUUUCUAUGUGGCUUAGCCUCUUUGUUUAUGAGGGCUUGAUUUGGAUAGUUUAUGGCAGCAAUCAAGGUGUCUGUUUAUAAUUGUUAACAGUUGACUUCACUUGAUGUGAUAUAGGAGAUCUAGUUUAUGGUAAUUCUUCUUGACCUGUCUUGUCUCCAAGUGAACCCCCAUUUGCUAUUAGAUGAGAAAGAAGAUAAAUGACAGGUCUUACGUGUCUAUUUAUACAGAAAUUACGACUAGGACCAAUAGGUGAAAGUUUCAAAGAAGGAGAUUUUGAUUAAUUACAAGGACAACUUUCAAAUGAUAGAAGCUUUUCAGGAAUGAAACAGCCUUUGGAAAAUUGGGAGUGCCUUGUUAACAGGUGUGUUCAGGCAGGGCCUGGUUGAUGACCCAUCAAGGCUGAUUUAGAAGGGAUUACUGCAUUGUAUUAAGUGAUGCUUUAGGUCUCAGUCUGCUCAAUUGCAAGCAUUCUGAGAAUCACUGUUCCGUCAACUUACUCGUGUAAAAUUUUACUAAAGUAACAUUUCACUAAUUGUAAUUUGGAAUAAUUGGGCUGAAGUUUUUCAUUACAUAGCACAUUUUUUUUUUCUUUCUAAAAGAUGUAUAAAUAAGAUUGGAGGAAGAUUUUAAAAACACUUAAAAUAUGCUGCUAUAUUUAAAUGCUCUAGAAGAAUCAGUUUAGUCAGAAACAUGACCUAAUUAUAAAUCAUUUAUUAAGGUACUAAUCGCUAUUAGAUAAGGUCUCUUACAUAAACUUGAAAGCAAUAAAACUCUAUUUCUUAGGACAUACUCUAAUUCAGAAAAUUUUUUUGUUCCUUUACAAAUAAAUCUGAGUUAAUGGGUAUUAAAACAAAAAUCAUAUUAAGACAACAAUAGAAAUCGAUAUUUAUUUAUACAAUUUGCAAAUUGGGGUAACAUUUUGAGUAAAAACCAAAAAACCAAACCCAUUGCUGUCGAGUUAGUUCCGACUCAAAACAGAGAGUCAAAAAUACUCCCAAGAUAAGAGAAUCUCUAAAGAUUCUAAUAUCCCGUCUUAUUGACAUUGCCAAGGUUCCCAGAACUACCCUGGAUUUCCUGCUCUUGAAACUACACAUAGGUAACUCUUUAAAAAAGCCCAAUGCCUAAGGCAAAACAGCCUCCACUAAGCUGCCUACUAGGCUAUUGUUUGACUUAAAGGUGACUUUAGGAUACCAGUUUCUUUAAGGCUCACCGUUCAAAAUGACAGCUAAGGGCAAAUGGCCUGGGUGGGUCACCCCAACUCCAUGGGCCCCAGAAUUAAAAUGGUUUCUCAGGAGAUUUUACGUAUAUUUAUUUAGACAUGUGGAAGCAUAUACAUAUUUUUAAAAAGGUAAAAUCUUUCAUACAAACGUAAAAUGAACAUGUGUCAAAGGUUUUAUUUAACUCAUUCAUUAAUGAGGGAAUCAGAAAGUUGUUAUAAUCAGUUUAAGGAAGAAUCCAAGGACCAAACACAUUUAUAGGCCAUUAGGAAUGCCAAGAUAGGUUUGUUUAUUAGAUCCAAAACUGGUUGGUUCCACUGUGGGAGAGGGAAGUCAACUGAACCUUCACGGAGAAAUUUUACAAUUGUAUGGAAUUCUAUGGAAAGAAAUUAUUUGAUGACUGUCAGGUUUCCUUGUCCGAGUUGUUAAAUAGCUUGAUAAAGAUGACAAAAGAGCCCUGGUGGCACAGUGGUUAAGUGCUUGGCUGCUAAUGGAGAGGUCAGUGGUUUGAACCCUGCCAGCUGCUCUAUGGUAGAAAGAUGUGGCUGUCUGCUUCCAUAAAGAUUUACAGCCUUGGAAACACUAUAGGCAGUUCUACUCUGUCCUGUAGGGUUGCUAAGAGUUGGAAUUGACUUGAUGGCAAUGGGAAAGACGAUGAAAAGCAGAGAAAACCAAAUGGAUGAACCUGUCAGGAAAACCACUUACUUUUUAAAAGUUUUUCCAAAUUUUUCCUUACACACAUACACACACGCACACAUCAAGCCCUGUUACUGGGAAAUUAUAGUGAUGCUCAUCAUGAUACACAAAGAUUGAAGCUGUCAAGGAUUUCAUUUCUCUUGGAUCCACAAUCAGCUUCCAUGGAAUCAGCAGUCAAGAAUUCAAAGGACGGAUUGCAUUUGGCAAACCUGCUGCAAAAGACCUCUUUAAAGUGUUAAGAAGCAAAGAUGUCACCUUGAAGACUAAGGCACACCUAACCCAAGCUAUGGUAUUUUCAAUUGCCUCAUAUGCUUGAGAAAGCAGGACAAUGAGUAAGACCAAAGAAUUGAUGCCUUUGAAUUAUGGUGUUGGCAAAGAAUAUUGAUUGCCAGAAUGGAUUGCCAGAAGAAUGAACAAAUCUCUCUUGGAAGAAGUACAUCUAGAAUGCUUCUUAGAAGUGAGAAUGGUGAGAUUUUAUGUCACUUACUUUGGACAUGUUAUUAGGAGGAACUCAGUGGCAUCACUAGGUGGAUACAGGGUUGCAGACUGCACUGGGUGACACUAUUAGAGGAAGUGACACCAAAAUCACUGUAUAUAAAUUUUCAUGUGCAGCAUUUCAGCAGAAAUUGAUUAUUUUUUAUAAAAAUACCACUGUAGUUAGUUAUAACAACAAAAAUUUCAUAAGCUCAGCUUACAUGUAUCAAUAUACCUACAAGGCUUAAAUUCUAUGCUAAUUUUUCUUGAACCUUCUACUGUGCUCUGAUCAGAAUUGUCAUCAUUACCCAAUUACAAUGAUGCUUGAAUCACUUGGUUUCGUCUCCACGCACUACAAACACGAGCUGUUGUUUUCGUUGCUGCUGGUGUUUUUAUAGUGGCUGAUUCUGUCAAAUUUUCUGGUUAUUGCACUGGCUGACAUUAACCCUAGUGAUGCUACUAGAGGGACCAAUCCAUGGAGAAGGACAUCAUGCUUGGUAAAGUAGAAGGUCAGUGAAAAAGAGGAAGAUCCUCAAUGAGAUGGAUUGACAGAGUGGCAACAACAAUGAGCACGAACAUGGUAACAAAUGUGAGGAUGGUGUAGGACUGGACAACGUUUUUUUUUUUUUGUCAUACUUAAUAAGAUUACUAUGAGUUAGAACCAACUUAAUGGCACCUAACAGCAACAAUAACAGACAUAGUAUUCCUAGCUAUGGAUAUUGAACCAACUACUUCUAUGUCCAAGACUCAAGUGAAUUUCAGAAAUUUAGUUCAUCUCACUUUCUAUUUCCAAUUCUGAUUUUAUGCUGAAUAUUAUAUAAAAGAACACAAUGUUUAUUUACAAGGUGAGCAAGUUGAAGGCAUGGAGGACAGGGAGCCUGAUCAAUGGUCUCAGGUGGGUGUGUCCCAUCUACUGGUUGACAACUACUACUUUAGUGGUGAUUUGGUGCAAUUUUUUCUUUUAGUCUUAAGUUUCAGAUAAAAGAUGCAGGAAGCGUGUCACCAAGAAAAAUAAUGUAAUUACCAGAUAAAAGAUAAUGAAACUAGUGUUAAAAAUAAAAUUUCCACAAGUUUAAAUUUGUGUUCUAACUCAUAAACUUUAUUUGCUAUUCAUCAAUGAGGGGAGCAAGGCAAGAACUCCAAAGAGAGGUACACAGCAGAAGGGCUUAUAGGUGCACAGACACACAGGCACAAGAAAGUGAGAAAGUGUUUUAAUUCUUCAGGAAUCUACAUUUCUGAGGUCCAUGGAGCUGGGGUGACUGAGCUGGGCAAUUUGCCCUCAGAUGUCCUUUUGAGCCUUGAGCCUUGAAGAACCUGUCUCCUAAAGUCACCUUUAGGUCAAACAACAGCCUUGCUAAUCAGUGAGAUCAUUUAGACUUAGACAUUGUGAUCUUUUGAAGAAUUCAGUGAGUUCUGGGGAAACAAACUCCACAGUUAGACUGGGAGCUGAGUUUUAGGGUAAAUUCUUAUUGUAAAAACACUGUUCUGGCCCGGUUCCCAUGAGAAUGAUUAUGGGGUGGAGUGUAAGAGUCUUUGAAGGCUUUCUCAUCUUUGGAAUAUUUUUGGCUCCCUAGUCCAAAUGUUACCCUAACAUGCAAAUCAUAUAUUAAAUAAACUUCAAUCAAUUUGCCUCUUACAGGCCAAAUUUUGGAUUGGCUGGCAGGCCUUUUCUUUCCUUAUUUGGGAUUAAGGGUACAUUUUGAACUAGGUUAAACCGGGCAGGCAAAUCCUAAUUAGCUAGUUUAGGUUUCUAUUUUCGGGAGAGUCAACCAAUUGACUUAGGUUUUAGCUCCUGGAAAGGUCAGGAAUUUACAGGAAAUAGAAACUAGUUAGGUUUCGGUUUCCUGAUGUGGGACAUAGCAUAAGUGACUCCAUCUUGGGCCUAAUAUAGUCAGGUUAAUAUAGUCAGGUUAACACUAGUUAGGGAAAAAUCCAUCUGGAUCAUACAAGAUCCAAAUGUCUUUUCAGGGAGGUCACUUUAGGAGACUGAGCAGUUAGCAACCUUAAGAACUCAAGUUCAGUCUCCUGAUUAAAAUUAAAGAUGUGACAAUGUUGAACUUUACCUGAGUCUUGUGUUCCUGGCCCCCAAGCUUCUGUCAGUUUGUGGUACCGUGGGGGCUUUCGUGUUGCUGUGAUGCUGGAAGCUGUGCCACUGGUACUCAAAUACCAGCAGGGUAGCCCAUGGCUGACAGGUUUCAGCUGAGCUUCCAGAUUAAGACAGACUAGGAAGAAGAACCUGGCAGUCUACUUCUGAAAACAAACAUCUUGGUGAAAAAAUUCCCACACCUUUUUGUGUUCCAUGAAAAAGCUAACUGCAAGCGAAGACCCUGCCCUGCAUAUUCCAAGAUAAGAUCCAUUCCCACCCAUCUUUGUGGCUCCCAUAAGACUCACAAUCACUCCCUUGUUUACCUGCCUCUAUGAAAUCCUGGAAACCUUAGUGGCGUAGUGGUUAAGUGCUAUGUCUCUAACCAAAAGGUCAGCAGUUCAAAUCUACUGGGUGCUCCUUGGAAACUCUAGGGGGGCAGAUCUACCCUGUCUUAUAGGGUCACUAUGAGUUGGAAUCAACUUGACGGCAUGGAGUUUA